CGAAUGGCGUAACGAUCGGAGAACUGUCUCAACGAAGAGCUCGGUGAAAAUGCGAUUCCCGUGAAGACGCGGGAUACCUGCAGCAAGACGAAAAGACCCCGGGAGCUUUACUGCAACUUGAUAUUGGCUUUAAAACUUGGAUGCGUAGCGUAGUGGGUAGGGGAUGAAGUUCCGCUUUUGGGCGGGAUGGACCCGACAAUGAAACACCCAUCUUCCGAGUUUUAAAAUCUAACCUAUCCGGCAAAAACGGAUCGGGACAGUGUCUGGCGGGCAGUUUAAAUGGGGCGUUUUCCUCCAAAAAAGUAACGGAGGAGUUUAUUAAGGUUGGCUUAGUCCCGAUGGAAACGGGACUGGACGCGUAAAGGCACAAGCCAGCUUAACUGCAAGACUGACAAGUCGCGCAGAUGCGAAAGCAGAACUUAGUGACCCGACCAUUCUUUAUAGAAAGGUGGGAGACAACGGCUAAAAGUUACCCCGGGGAUGGAUCCUGAAAAAAGGAUCAGUUGUCCCGUUCCGCAGUAAUGCGGAACAAGAUUACGGCUUAUAACGGUGAACCCAAAAUUGGUCUUUCCUCGUUUUGCGAGGUUCUCGAUUUUGGCAAUACCGUGGGAAGCGAGCACAUAAAACAUUAUGCGCUUCGCCUCGUAACGACUGAAUUCUAUUUAGAUUAUUUUAAAUAGAUGAAGAUAGCAGCUUUUUUGUUGCUAUAAUACGCCGUCCCCUGUUAAAUAAUUUCGCCAAAGGCGAAAUUGCCGCAAAGCGGCAUUUAACAGGGUGAAGAUAUAGUCUAAUUGUGUUACUUCGUAACACCGCGGAACCACGCGGAAGAUUACGCGGAAUGUCGCAGAAAAUAAUUCUGCGUUAGUCUGCGUGAAGUCUGCGUAAGUCCGCGCUGUGAGCGAAGCGAACAGAUUGAACAGGCUGGUGAGGCCCGAGAGUCCCUAUCGACGGCCUCGCUCGGCACCUUAAAUGACAUUGGGGUGCCUCCACAAGUAAUUGUGGGUAAAAACAUGACUUAUAACGGUGGACUCCACAUAGUAAAAUUAUUACGUGGACAAUACCGUGGGAAGCGAGCACAUAAAGCAUUAUGUGCUUCGCCCCGUAGAGACUUCUCUUUGAUGUCAGAGAGAGAUGGCGGAUAAUUAUUCCGCCAUAAUACGUCAUCUCCAUUUUCGGAUGUCAGAUAUCUGAUAUCAGACUUCUGAAAUCUGAUUUUGGAUGAAGAUAUAGUCCAAGCUGUUAGUAAUAACAGAUUUUUGCGAUGUCGGCUCGCCCUAGCGCCCCGCUGGAGAAGGUGGGAAGCGUAUGGCUGUUCGCCAUUUAAAAGGGCACGUGAGCUGGGUGGGUUGGAAAAACCUCGAGCCCAGCAAAAGCUUUACUGGAGGUAAAAGUAGUAAAGCGAAAUAAACUGACUCAUAACGGUGGAGUCCCAAUGCAAAAAAUGAUAAAAUUAUGCAAUGGACAACAUCGUGGGAAGAUUACAAUCUUUUUUUUCGCUACAUCAAACAGUUUUACUUUAAGCACGCACUGUGAGCUAUAAGAUUGUAAAUCCCCGUAACGACUUGUCUGGCGGAAGCCGGGCAGAGUUAGAAAGCGCGACGUUAUCGCUUUCUAGCUAACACGUCAGCUUCGACAAAAGAAAAGUUGUCGGAGAAGGUAUAGUCUAAUGCCGCUCGUAAGAGCGGGAAUACAUUGUCAAACCGUCAAUUUGGCGGCUAUGCGGAGUAAUCCGCAUUAGCAAAACUGACUCAUAUCGGUGAAGUCCUAGCAUUGAAAUUAACCUGUCACAUGUUAGGAUAAUACCGAGGGAAGUUAGAAAAUAAUUAUUUAUUGCGAAAUGAAGGAAAAUUUAGAUAGUUUAUCAGAACGAGAAAAACAAGAGAGAGAAUUAAACGAGAUAACUACUGAACUGAAAUAUGCAGCCUUGGAAUAGUUGAUGCCGAGAUUGAAGACGAUUUGCUUAAAAUAGAAGAGUUGGCUAGCAAGCGACGAAAACUUAAGGAAUAUUUUCCAGAUUUUUUUGGCGAGCAAUAAUUUCUAACCCCGUAGAGACUUGUCCCGAUGGGGACGGAUGGAUAAAAAUGUCCAUAAAACGUCAGUAUACCGGAUAUCAGAUGUCAGACAUCGGCUAUCAGAUAUAAAUUCUGAAAUCCGAAAUCUGAAUUCUGAAAUCUGGUAUGUGGUAUAGUCCAUGCCCGUAGUAAUGCGGGAGAGAGUUUCGUAAAAUUUCCGCGAAGUCCGCGUUAAGUCAGCGGAGUCUGCGGUUUUGCGAAGCAAAACAUGCGUGAGACAGGUUGGUCUCUAUCUGUUGCAGGCGACGACACUUGAGGGGAGUCGACCCUAGUAAGAAAUUGCUACUUCCCGCAGUAAUGCGGGAUGACAACCUUCGACAGGCUCAGGUUAGCCUGAGCAAAGCCGAAGGCCAAUUCGGCUAAUAACGGUGGAAUCUUUAAUUUACAAAAGUGAUUCGGUCCGGAAGCUUUUGAUAAAAUGAAUUAAAGCUAAUAUCGUGGGAAGCCCCGCGAUGCGGGGCCCCGUAACGACUGACCGGAACACAUAAGAAUUUAUGUGUUCGGGAGAUAAGAACUUUAAAGUUCUUAUAAUAUGCCGACCUCCUAAUCCGUCAGCCGACGGAUGGAGGAAGAUAUAGUCUAUACCAUUAGUGAUAAUGGAUACAGUUUCGUAUUUCUGCGUAAGUCCGCGUUAAGUCAGCGGAGUCCGCGAUUUUGCGAAGCAAAAUAUGACGAGAGGACCGGGUUGAACGUACCGCUGGUGUGCCAGCUUUCCUACCAAGGGAACUGCUGGGUAGCUAUGUACGGAAGGGAUAAGCGCUGAAAGCAUCUAAGCACGAAGCCUACCCCAAGAUUAGGUGUCACGGUGCUUCGCACCGAGAUCAAAAAUUAAAAAUAAAAAACCAAAAAUAAAUGAGUCCGCCCUUGGCGAGCAAUCCUAUUUUUUUAUUUUUGAUAUUUUGUUUUUGGUUUCGAUGCGGAGCAUCGGGCGGUUCGUGGCAGACUACCACGUUGAUAGGCUCUAGGUGUAAGUACAGUAAUGUAUUUAGCCAAGGAGUACUAAUGACCG
rnacentral:rRNA from 1 species